GGGCUCCUUCGGGAGCACCGGCGGACUGCUCAGUAACACGUGGACAACCUACCCUCGGGUGGGGGAUAACCUCGGGAAACUGAGGCUAAUACCCCAUAGGCCUCGGAUACUGGAAGGUUCCGAGACCGAAAGCUCCGGCGCCCGAGGAUGGGUCUGCGGCCUAUCAGGUAGUUGGUGGUGUAAAGGACCACCAAGCCUACGACGGGUACGGGCCCUGAGAGGGGGAGCCCGGAGAUGGACUCUGAGACACGAGUCCAGGCCCUACGGGGCGCAGCAGGCGCGAAACCUUCGCAAUGCGCGAAAGCGCGACGAGGGGAGCCCGAGUGCCCUUCCUUUCGGGAGGGCUUUUCUGGAGCCUAAAAAGCUCCAGGAAUAAGGGCUGGGCAAGACGGGUGCCAGCCGCCG
rnacentral:rRNA from 1 species